rnacentral:rRNA from 1 species
CCUACGGGUGGCUGCAGUGAGGAAUAUUGGUCAAUGGGCGCGAGCCUGAACCAGCCAAGUAGCGUGAAGGAUGACUGUCCUACGGGUUGUAAACUUCGUUUAUAAAGGAAUAAAGUGAGUCUGGUGUGCCUUUUUGUAUGUACUUUAUGAAUAAGGAUCGGCUAACUCGGUGCCAGCAGCCGCGGUAAUGCGGAGGAUCCGAUCGGUAUGCGGAUUUAUAGGGUUAAAAGGGUGCGUAGGCGGAAUAUCAAGUCAGCGGUAAAACUUCGGGGCUCAACCCCGUCGUGCCGUUGAAACGGAUGUUCUUGAGUGGGCGAGAGGUAUGCGGAAUGCCUGGUGUAGCGGUGAAAUGCAUAGAUAGCACGCAGAACUCCGAUUGCGAAGGCAGCAAACCGGCGCCCAACUGACGCUGAAGCACGAAAGCGUGGGUAUCGAACAGGAUUAGAUACCCGAGUAGUC